rnacentral:rRNA from 1 species
GUCUUCUUGUAACCCCUGAGAAGUCUGGCCUGCCCACUGAUUUAAAGGGCCGCGGUAUUAUGACCGUGCGAAGGUAGCAUAGUCAAUAGUCUCUUAAUUGGAGGCUGGAAUGAACGGUUGGACGGGAAGAAAGCUGUCUUGCUUGGUUGAUAAUGAAUUUGACUUUUGUGUGAAAAGGCAUAAAUGCCUUGGGGGGACGAUAAGACCCUGUAAAACUUGAUAAUUUAAUUUGGGUCUCUGAAUUUAAUAUAGGUCUGGGUAUGAUUAUUUUGCUGGGGAGGCAAGGAUAAAAUAACUGUCAUAUAAAUAGAAUAAUAAUUGUUAGAUGAUGACCCUUAAUUUAGGUUUAAGAGUUUAAGUUACUUCAGGGAUAACGCGUAAUUUCUCUUGAGAGUUCUUAUCGACAGAGAUAGUUGCGACCUCGAUGUUGAAUUAAAACUUCUGUAGAGUAGGAGUUUACAUGGUAGGUCUGUUCGACUUUAAAGUUUU